GAUGAACGCUAGCGGCAGGCUUAACACAUGCAAGUCGAGGGGUAUUGGUUUUCGGACCAAGAGACCGGCGCACGGGUGCGUAACGCGUAUGCAAUCUACCUUUUGCAGAGGGAUAGCCCCAGAGAAAUUUGGAUUAAUACCUCAUAGUAUAGUACUUUGGCAUCAAGGAACUAUUAAAGUCACAACGGCAAAGAUGAGCAUGCGUCCCAUUAGCUAGUUGGUAAGGUAACGGCUUACCAAGGCUACGAUGGGUAGGGGUCCUGAGAGGGAGAUCCCCCACACUGGUACUGAGACACGGACCAGACUCCUACGGGAGGCAGCAGUGAGGAAUAUUGGACAAUGGGCGCAAGCCUGAUCCAGCCAUGCCGCGUGCAGGAUGACGGUCCUAUGGAUUGUAAACUGCUUUAUACAGGAAGAAACACUCCGACGUGUCGGAGCUUGACGGUACUGUAAG
rnacentral:rRNA from 1 species